rnacentral:rRNA from 1 species
AAUGAACGUUGGCGGCGUGGAUUAGGCAUGCAAGUCGAGCGAGAACCCAGCAAUGGGGGACAGCGGCGAAAGGGACAGUAAUGUGUAGAUCAUCUGCCCUCAGGCCCGGGAUAGCUGCGGGAAACUGCAGGUAAUACCGGAUAAUAUCUCCGGAUCAAAGGUGUGAUUCCGCCUGGGGAUGAGUCUACAUCCUAUUAGCUUGUUGGUGGGGUAAUGGCCUACCAAGGCGAUGAUGGGUAGCGGGUGUGAGAGCACGACCCGCGUCAUUGGGACUGAGACACUGCCCAGACACCUGCGGGUGGCCGCAGUCGAGAAUCUUCGGCAAUGGGCGCAAGCCUGACAGAGCGACGCCGCGUGCGGGAUGAAAGCCUUCGGGUUGUAAACCGCUGUCAGAGGGGAUGAAAUGCAGGUGGGUUCUCCCAUCUGUUUGACAUAGCCUCAGAGGAAGGACGGGCUAAGUUCGUGCCAGCAGCCGCGGUAAGAC